rnacentral:rRNA from 1 species
UUGGAGGGCAAGUCUGGUGCCCGCAGCCGCGGUAAUUCCAGCUCCAAUAGCGUAUAUUAAAGUUGUUGCAGUUAAAAAGCUCGUAGUUGAAUUUCGGGACCAAUUUGUUGGUCGUGCCUCGGUACGUACUGGUAUUAUUGGUUUCUCCCUUCUGAAGAACCUCGAUGCCAUUAAUUUGGUGUCGUGGGGAAUCAGGACUGUUACUUUGAAAAAAUUAGAGUGUUUAAAGCAAGCAUACGCUUGAAUACAUUAGCAUGGAAUAAUGAAAUAGGACGUUUGAUUCUAUUUUGUUGGUUUCUAGGAUCGACGUAAUGAUUAAUAGGGAUAGUUGGGGGCAUUAGUAUUCAAUUGUCAGAGGUGAAAUUCUUGGAUUUAUUGAGGACUAACUACUGCGAAAGCAUUUGCCAAGGAUGUUUUCAUUAAUCAAGAACGAAAGUUAGGGAUCGAAGACGAUCAGAUACCGUCGUAGUCUUAACCAUAAACUAUGCCGACUAGGGAUCGGAUGAUGUUAAUUUUUUAAUGACUCAUUCGGCGCCUUACGGGAAA